rnacentral:tRNA from 1 species
GCGUAGGUGGUGGAAUUGGUAUACACGUAGGAUUAAGGAUCCUAUGGCGCAAGCCUUGGGGGUUCAAGUCCCCCCCUACGCA